UGGCCAGACUCCUACGGGAGGCAGCAGUGAGGAAUAUUGGUCAAUGGCCGGAAGGCUGAACCAGCCAAGUCGCGUGAGGGAGGACGGCCCUACGGGUUGUAAACCUCUUUUGUCGGGGAGCAAAGCGAGUCACGUGUGACUCAUUGAGAGUACCCGAAGAAAAAGCAUCGGCUAACUCCGUGCCAGCAGCCGCGGUAAUACGGAGGAUGCGAGCGUUAUCCGGAUUUAUUGGGUUUAAAGGGUGCGCAGGCGGAGGUGCAAGUCAGCGGUCAAAUUGCGGGGCUCAACUCCAUCCAGCCGUUGAAGCUGAUGAUCUUGAGUGGGCGAGAAGUAUGCGGAAUGCGUGGUGUAGCGGUGAAAUGCAUAGAUAUCGCGCAGAACUCCGAUUGCGAAGGCAGCAUGCCGGCUCCACACUGACGCUGAGGCACGAAAGCGUGGGUAUCGAACAGGAUUAGAUACCCCAGUA
rnacentral:rRNA from 1 species